rnacentral:rRNA from 1 species
UACGGGGGGGCAAGCGUUGUUCGGAAUUACUGGGCGUAAAGGCUCGUAGGCGGCCAACUAAGUCGGAUGUGAAAUCCCCCAGGCUCAACCUGGGAACUGCAUCCGAUACUGGAUGGCUUGAAUUCGGGAGAGGGAUGCAGAAUUCCAGGUGUAGCGGUGAAAUGACGCAGAUAUCAGGAGGAACACCAAUUGCGAAGGCAGCUCGCUGGGACGUUACUGACGCUGGAGACGCGAAAGCGUGGGGAGCAAACAGG